GAUGAACGCUGGCGGCGUGCCUAAUACAUGCAAGUCGAACGAACAGACGCGGCGCUUGCUCCUCUGACGAUAGCCGCGGGCGUGUGAGUCACGCGUGGAUCCUCCCCCUGUCUGUCUGGUAAAUUCUCGGGACACGGGCGCUUAUCCCGGAUGAUCUCUUGAUCCGCGUGGUUGAAUGGUGAGAUACGGCGGUUGUGGAUGGAAUCGCGGGUUCUCAGCUUGAUGGUGGGGUAGUGAAUUACCAAGGCUUUGACGGGUAGCCGGCCUGAGAGGGUGACCGGCCACAGUGGGACUGAGAUACGGGCCAGACUCCUACGGGAGGCAGCAGUGGGGAAUAUUGCAAAAUGGGCGGAAGCCUGAUGCAGAAACGCCGCGUGCGGGAUGACGGCCUUCGGGUUGUAAACCGCUUUCGCCUGUGACGAAGCGUGAGUGACGGUAAUGGGUAAAGAAGCACCGGCUAACUACGUG
rnacentral:rRNA from 1 species